UACAGAGGCCACAAGCGUUAGGCGGAAUCACUGGGCGUAAAGCGCACGUAGGCGGCUUUUUAAGUCAGGGGUGAAAUCCUGGAGCUCAACUCCAGAACUGCCUUUGAUACUGGAAAGCUCGAGUCCGGAAGAGGUGAGUGGAACUGCGAGUGUAGAGGUGAAAUUCGUAGAUAUUCGCAAGAACACCAGUGGCGAAGGCGGCUCACUGGUCCGGUACUGACGCUGAGGUGCGAAAGCGUGGGGAGCAAACAGG
rnacentral:rRNA from 1 species